rnacentral:rRNA from 1 species
UACGUAGGGACCAAGCGUUGUUCGGAUUUACUGGGCGUAAAGGGCGCGUAGGCGGCCCCGCAAGUCACUUGUGAAAUCUCUGGGCUUAACCCAGAAAGGUCAACCGAUACUGCGGGGCUAGAGUGCAGAAGGGGCAACUGGAAUUCUCGGUGUAGCGGUGAAAUGCGUAGAUAUCGAGAGGAACACCUGCGGCGAAGGCGGGUUGCUGGGCUGACACUGACGCUGAAGCGCGAAAGCUAGGGGAGCGAACGGG